rnacentral:rRNA from 1 species
UACGGAGGGUGCGAGCGUUAUCCGGAAUAACUGGGCGUAAAGGGCGCGUAGGCGGGCUUUUAAGUGAGAUGUGAAAGCCCCGGGCUUAACCUGGGAAUAGCAUUUGAGACUGGGAGGCUUGAGUACUUUAGAGGGAGGUGGAAUUCCACGUGUAGCGGUGAAAUGCGUAGAGAUGUGGAAGAACACCAAUGGCGAAGGCAGC